GCUACGCUUUGCGUUGACUUGUUUAAAUAAAUAUUUUGGUCAUGUUUUACUUUUUACUUUGUUAUUUUUCUUUUGAAGACUGAUGGCAUCAAUUGAGUGAUUUGGACUUUAGGAGAAGCAAAGUUUCUGGAGAGCGGAGACUUUUACAUUCCUUUCAUUCUCAUUGAGCUUGUUGGCGGACUGAACAAUUCCAUUUCAUCUUCACCCAUAUUCCCUUCCCAACUGUCUUCAGACGUAUAUUCAUCAUUCACUUUUCUUUAUCUCAGAAAGAUCCUGCUCUCCGAAGAGAGUGUACCACAGCUGUCUCUUGUAGACCGUAUUGGCUGUGUCUUUUAUCCAUUUCAUCCCAUUUCAUCUUCACACUUGCAAAAACAAAUGAAAAAUUUACAAAAGCAAUUAUGAGAACAUUAUUAUAUAUUCAUGCAGAAGCAUUCUAUACCUAAUCACAGAAGUCUUAAAUGUUUGCUACAGAAGAAGUCCUACUUUUUACUUGUGAUACUUUAUAUUACUGAAUUUUCUAAAUUUCACAAAUCUUCUCUUAUUCUACAAACUUUCUAAAUCUAUUCUUAAUCACAAAAGUUAUUCCUACAAGAUCUCUAAAUCUAUUUUAUACUAAGCUGUCUGAACUUUUCUAACCUAUUUCAUAUUACUGAAUUUUAUAUUUCUUAAUUAUGGAACUUGAAAUUGAUCAAUUCAAGGAAGUGAUGAAAGAGAUUGUAGAUAUGCUAUAUACAUGCGAUCCGCAUAAUGAAGAAUGUUGUGUCUGUAAAAAUACAAUUGAAGAAAGUGAAAACAAAGCUACUUGUGAGAGCUGCAAUGAACAUUAUCAUGUAACAUGUAUGGGCUUUUUGUGUCAAGAUCUAGUAAAUGAGCAAAGAUUAAUCUGGAUAUGUUCAUAUUGUGGAAAUAACAACAUUGCACAUCGACUAUUUGAUAAAGUAUGUAUCCCCUCUCAUAUCAAUAGAUACCAGCCUCUCGAGACAGUGGAUGAAGUAUUCAAUGAUGAUGUGCUCCUCUUAACCAAGCAAAAUGACAAACACAAGAAAUGCAGAUCAAAGAAAAGGUAUUUUAAGAAAUGCAAGAAAAUCAUUAUAGAGCCAGGAAAUCAAAGUGUAAAAGUAAUGAAAUCAAGUGAGUUUGACACGCAUGAACAUGAUCAUCUAGUCACUCAAAGAGAUUCCCCCAAACAACGUGAUCAAGUGCAUAGCGAAGAAGUAGGCAGUAAUGAAUGGAUGAAAGUGAAAUCAAAAAAGGCAAAGAUGUUGGAAAAGAUCCAAGACAGAAUAUCACAUUCAACAGCAAAAAGUGACAGUGGAACAGGUCAGAAAAAGAGAAUCAUAAAUGGUGUUGUUUUAGAACCUGGAGUAACGUACAUUGGCAAAGCAAUGAAAUCUUUCUACGAAAGACGAAAAAGUAAAAAAUCAAAACGCAAAGUAGACAUCAAACUAAACAGAGAUGUAGAAUGUCAGAAUGUAUUGGAAAAUAAUGUUCAAAUGUACGCAGAAAAAUUGCUAAAUGAAUACUCAAAGUGUGUGCAAUCACCAAAAUCUAUGAUGUCCCAUGAAACGAAACUCUACAAAGAAAAUAACAUGAAGCAAAAACAAUCUUGGGCUGAUGUAGUAGGCCAUGUACAAAAUGAAAUAAUACAGGAACAUUCUAUUGUUGGCAGUGCGACAUGCAGUCAUGUUUUUUUAAAACAAUAUAAGGGCAAAGAACAGAGCACAUUUCGAGUAUGUGGUGGUGCAAAACCAAAUGAUAAAGGAAAAGUAUGUGACGGAAAGACUGAAAACGCGGGUGAAGUAAAGGUGGAUAAAGAUUGUAAGCAACAUGUGGACAAGUCUAUUCCUAUGAAAAUGUUUGAAAUGAAACAUGAUAGUACAUUUCAUAAACAGUCAGUCAACACCUCUAAUGUAAAUUUAGAAGAGAAGCAAAUACCAAAUGAGAACAUGUCAAAUAUGGAACAAAAUACACUUGUGCAAUGUGUUGCCCUGGGCAAUUUUCAUCAAGGAAAUGCUAGAUUUGGAUUUUAUUCUGGAAAGCAAUGUGUUUCUAACAGUUUUGCUGCUAUUUUAUACAGUAAAAUUACAGAUGUUUCCCAAUGGCAAAAACAAGAUCUUGACAAGGUAUUGAAUUAUGGUAAUGAGUUGUAUAGAUUUAUUCAGCUUAGUUCUGCAAUAAAUGAAGAUUUCUUAUUGAUAUCUGAGUUACCUGAUCAAUUAGAAGCUUUUGAUGUCCAUUUUAAGAUGCAAUGUUCUCAGAGUGUUGUGGGUAUAAUUUGUGGAGAUGAAUCUUUUUUAAGUCAUUUUAAUGCAGUAACAUUAAAAGAUGCUCUCCAUCAGGAAUUAGAUAGACAUGAUGCAUGCUUUUGUACAUUUGGUGGCCAAACAUUUGCAAUCAUAUCCACACAAGAACAAUAUUUUAUUUUUGAUUCACAUUCAAGAGAUAGGCAUGGACUUAUGACAGAUGGUGGGACCAGUGUCAUUCUAUGUUCAUCAAACUGGGAAGGUGUGUACGAUCAUAUUUUGAAAUUAGCUGAAUCUAUGGGUAUCAAUAGAAACCAGACUGAAUUUGAACUUACAGGUAUAAUUGUGAAUCUUAUCAAUUCAAGCGAGAUUACUGUGACAGAACAUGGUGAUAAUGGUCAUGUUGCAAAAGAUGAACAGGACUGUAUAAAUGUAGUUGAAGGUAAUGAUGGAUUUUUCUUGCCAACAGAUAGAACUGACAAAAGUAAUAGAUGUGUUCCCACAAAUGUGCCUGAUUCUAUUGAAAUCAAUGAAGAUGACUGCAAUAUUAUUGAUACUGAAAAUGAUCGGAAUGAUUGCAGAUAUUUCGCAAGCAGUUUUUCGACAGAUAUGUCUGAUUGUAUUGAAAUAGAUGAUGAUGAGGAUGACUGCAUAAUAAUUGAUGCAGAGCAUGAUACAAAUUAUUGCAAAGAUUUGUUUAGUGGUGCUCCCUCAGAUAGGCCUGAUUCUAUCAAUAUAGAUGAUGUUGAUGAUGAUGACUGCAUGGUAAUUGAUACAGAAUACAUUACAAAUAACUACAAAUAUUUUCCAGUCCAUUCAAGUGAAAAGAAAAAAAUGUGUGCUAGAUUUAAUAUUACAGAUACAUGUAUCAGUUCGAAAUCAGAUAUCGACACGUGCAUUAAUAUUGGUACUCCUGCUAUUAUUUCAAAUAUUACCGGCGAUGGAAAUUGUUUUUACCGGGCAAUCUCUCUUUUUCUGACAGGGAAGGAAGGCAAUCACAAAUUUCUGAGGCAAAAGUGUAUCCAACAUUUGCUGGAAAACUCGCACUUAUUUGCUGGUUGUUUAAGAUAUGAAUUUGUAUCAGUUAAAGACUAUGUUAGUAAAAAUAAGCCAGACAUCAAUGGUGAAUGGGCCACAGAGGUAGAAAUUGCUGUCAUGGCCCAUCUGCUUGAAACAGACAUAUUAAUAUUUAGUGAUAUUUAUUUAAAGUGGAGACUAUAUUCAUGGAAUAACCCUGGACGCAUUGUACAUGAUUCAAAUAUGGGCAUUUAUCUAUUACAUGUUAAAGGGGUACAUUUUGAUUAUGUUGAAUCUGUUAAUUGUAUUGAUUUGGUUACAGACGAAGGAAAAAAAACAAAGGAAGUUACAUGUAAUAAAAAGAGAUCUAUUAAUAGUGAAAUGCUUAAAGACAAAAGUAAACUAUCCAAACAAUAUGCAUCUUGUGCAACAAAAGAUGAAAUUGAAGAAACGUUUAUGCCAAGUCUAAGCGGAAAAAGUGAAGACAUGUUUAUGUCCAAAAGAAAGAGAAAAGGUGACACAAUUCAUGAAAGUGUAAAGUGUGCUAAGUCGAAAAAGAUGUCUUUUCCAAAAAUGCAUAGAUAUUGCAAAACAAAAGAACCAAAACUGGAAAACGAUGAGAGGGAUAAAAAAUCAGCUUCUAAAAUUACAAGUUAUCCAUCAGACAAUUGUAAUACUAUGAAUAGAGGUGUUGCUGAUGUUUUAAAUAAAGGAAACGUGUUCAUUGGAAAUGACCCUUUAAAGAUACGGAAUGAAAAAAUUGUAUUGAAAAAAGUGUCAAUUAGACUUGUACGUUUAUCUGAAUCUGAAAUAAAGAAUCUUUCAUUUGAUUUAUUGAAAGGUAUAAAGAAAACACAAUCUAGUGCUAACUUUCAAGGUACAAAUAUUCCAGUAAAAGGGUCUACAAUUGAAUUUCCUCAAAAACAAAUUAAAAAAGAAAACAAGAAAAGCAAAUAUAAGCAGUCCUUAAAAAAACGACAACAAUUAGCUAAAGAAAGGAUGAAAGCAAAACGAAAACAAAUUAAUGAUCAUGAUGCAUACGAAGAUGUACAAAACAAUGAGAAUUAUGUAAAUGACAUGGAUGGUUGCAAAUUCAAAAGAGAUUUCAGUGAUGUAAAAAAGACAAAAAUGAAACAUAAGUAUCACUGUAACAAAACUUUCAGAGAUGAAAAGAAGAAAAAGAUUAAACAGAAGUAUCUGUCUGAAGAAUCUUUCAGAGAUGAACACAAGCAAAAAAUAAAGCAUAAGUAUGAGUCUAAUAUAUUGUUUAGAGAUGAACACAAGAAGAAAAUAAAAUUGAAAUAUGAGUCUAAUGAAUCCUUUAGAGAUGAACAUAAGAAAAAAAUGAAACAAAAAAUAAAACAUGACUAUCAGUCUAAUAAAUCCUUUAGAGAUGAACACAAGAAAAAAAUGAAACAAAAAAUAAAACAUGACUAUCAGUCUAAUAUGUUGUUUAGAGAUGAGCACAAGAAGAAAAUAAAAUUAAAAUAUGAGUCUAAUACAUUAUUUAGAGAUGAACACAAACAAAAAAUAAAACAUAAGUAUCACUCUAACCAGCAUUAUAGGCAGAGACUCGCAGAAAAAAAUAAAGAACGUGCUGGACUUAAGAAAAUGAGUUUCAAAAAAUUAGAAAAUGUACUACGAAAUUUCAGAAAUGUUAUUUCUCAUGGACCAGAAUAUGUCUGUUGUGUAUGCCUAAAAUUGCUUUUUCAAAGUCAAGUCUUAAAAUGCAUUAAGCAAAAUUACCAAAACAAAACGUGUAUGAAUGAGUCCUAUUUACACAUUUGCAAUUCACACUGUAAUGAAAACUGUCAAUUGGCGCACUCAUCUCGUGGACAUUUAUGGAUAUGCUUUACAUGCCACAGAAAAUUGUUGACGAAUAAAUUACCGGCUGAGGCUAGUGUUAACAGUUUGCAAUUGCAUGAGAUUCCAGAAGAAUUGAAGGACUUGAAUAAUUUAGAGCAACAUUUAAUUGCACGUAACAUCAGUUUUUUCAAAUUAAUUCGUUUACCUAAGGGAGGUCAAAAUGCAGUUCAUGGACCAGUUGUUUGUGUGCCUUCGAAUACAAUGAAAACUGUAAAUAUGCUACCUCCACCAGAAAGAGAAGAUCAAUUGAUCCGUGUGAAAUUGAAAAGGAAAAUAUCUUAUAAGGGCCAUCAUGAGUAUAAAUUUGUUAAUAAAAAUAAGGUGCUAAAUGGGUUGCACUAUUUGAAAAAAAACAAUAAGUGGUAUUCUGAUAUAAGUAUCAAUGAAAACUGGAAUAAUUCGUUGUCAGGAGAAAUGUGUAGUGCAGAAACAAACGACAAUGACGAUUCAAUUCAAAACUUUGAAGAACAGGAAAAUGAUGACCAAGAAGCAAGGUUAAAUGGAAUUCAACUUGAUACCUGCUUGCAACCAGUUGAUAUUGGACAAGAAAUCCUGGAUCAACAUUUUGAUGAUAUUUUCUGUUGUGCUCCAUGUGAAGGCAACAAUCCCAUAGCACUUCUUAGAGAUGAAAGCAAUGAACCUAAAUCUUUUCCUGUAUUAUUUCCAAAAGGUCAACCAACUUAUCAUGAUUUCAGAAGUGUACGGGUGACCCUUGGAAGAUAUCUUCAAAAUAGGCUAAUGCACGUAGAUAAUCGCUUUGCUAAAAGUACAGAUUUUAUUUUUUAUGCUCAGUGCAUUUAUGAAAUUCAACAAGUUUUGUCCGGUGUUUCAAUUGCAUUGAGAAAAACAUCAAGUAAAAGUGAUACUGAUGCACCAAUCACUAUCAAAGAUUUAAAACAAAUUGACAAAGUUCAGGACAUAUUAAAAUCAGAUAGAGGGUUUCGCUUUCUGAAACAGAUAAGAGGUUCUCCUCCAUAUUGGUCUGCCACACAAAAAGAUUUAUUAGCCAUGGUGAGACAGCUUGGUAUACCUACAUGGUUUGCAAGUUUCUCGGCAGCAGACAUGAGAUGGCCUGAAGUAUUAAAUACUUUAUUAAUGGAAAGAGGUGAUAAACGAAAAAUCAAUGACCUAGAUUGGACAGAUAAAUGUGAACUUUUAAAGUCGAAUCCAGUGACUGUUGCAAGGAUGUUUGACAAAAGAUUUCACACUUUUUUGAAAAAUGUUAUUUUGUCUGAAGCACAUCCCAUUGGUCAUGUAAUAGAUUAUUUUUAUCGUGUUGAAUUCCAACAGCGAGGAUCUCCACACACACAUUGUUUAUUCUGGGUAAAGGAUGCACCAGAGCAUGGAUAUAGUUCAGAUGAGGAAGUAGUUUCCUUCAUUGAUAAAUACAUUUCUUGCAAGAUACCAUCCGAACAAGAAGAUCCAGAACUCCAUGAAAUAAUCACUCAUGUGCAGCAGCAUAGCAAAAAGCAUUCAAAAUCUUGUAAAAAGAAGGGAAAAACAUGUCGGUUCAAUUUUCCAAGACCACCAUCUGAUAGAACAUGUGUACUUUAUCCCAAAGAGGGUAAUCCCGAUGAAAUUGAUAGUGCAAAACAAUUAUUAGAAUCUAUCAAAAACGCUGUAAAUCAGGAAAAUAAUUACACUAAUGUCUCGGACCUUUUUAAAGAUUGUAACACAACACAGACUGAAUUUGAAACUGCAACUAGGUUAUUAGCUAAACAAGAAAUUUUGAUCAAGAAAAGAGACCCCAAAGAUGUAUGGAUAAAUCAGUACAAUCCUUUUCUACUGAGAGCAUGGAAUGCAAAUAUGGACUUACAAUUUGUUAUGGAUGUUUAUGCAUGUGUUAGAUAUAUUGUAUCAUACAUUUCAAAAUCAGAGAGAGAAAUGGGAAUGCUCUUAAGCCAUGCUCAAUCUGAAAUAAAUGAGGGAAAUCAUGAUGCAAGAAAAAGUAUCAGACAGCUCGGAAAUGUCUACAUGCAAAAUCGAGAAGUAUCUGCACAGGAGAGUGUGUAUCGUGUAUGUUCCCUUCGAUUAAAAGAGUGUUCACGAAAAGUCGAAUUUAUUCCGGUUGGUCCAAAUCCUGUUAGAAUGAGUUUACCUUUACAUGUUAUUCAAAGUAGACCUGACGAUAAUGAUGAUGAUAGGAGUCCAUGGAUGGCAAAUAAACUUGAUCGAUAUAAAGCUAGACCUAAUGGAAGUGAAUUUGACACUAUGUGUCUUGCAAAAUUCUGUGCAUGCUACAGAAUACUAACUGCAUCGCAAGUGAAAGGCACUAAAACAUCACCAUAUUUAUUUGAAUUGAAAAAUAAUUCGGGAUACAUUCAGAAACGAACAAGGUCUAGUGUUGCUGUCGUAAGAUAUCCACGAUUUUCUAAAAUACUUUCUCCAGAAAAAUAUUACCUCAGUAUAUUGCAACUUUUCCUGCCAUUUAGUAAUGAUGAGCAGUUAAAACCACCACAGUUUGAGACAUAUCAGGAAUUUUAUAAAACAGGUAAUGUCAAACUACAGGGAGGCAAUUUGGAAAGUGUAAAAUCAAUAGUAGACAAACAUUGUAAAGAGUACGAAAGAAAUUCAAGAGCCAUUGAACAAGCUGAACUUUUCAUGGACAAAUUUGGUUCUCCAGAAGAUGCGUGGGCUCUUUUAUGUCCUGAAAGUGAAAAAGAAAGACUAGAAAAUCCUAAGAACAAAGUUGAAAUGGAUGAACCAGAAUGUGAAUUGGACAUUCCAGAUUUCAAACAUGAAAAAAAGAAUGAAACUUCUAGUGUGGAAUUUCGAAGCCAUGGAAUUUCAAAACAUGAAUCAAAUAGUUUGAUUCGAUGUUUAAACAAUGAGCAAAAAGAAAUCUUUUACAAAAUUAGACAAUGGUGCUUAGAGAAAGUGAAUGGUACAGAAAGUCAACCUUUUCAUGUACUUAUUAGUGGUGGUGCAGGAACAGGAAAAUCUUAUUUAAUAAAAUGUAUAUACCACGAAGCUGUACGCAUACUUGGUAAAAUGAUGGUUAAUCCUGAUGACAUUUCAAUCUUGAAAGUUGCACCAACUGGCAUAGCUGCAUUCAAUAUAGAUGGAUCUACAAUUCACAGUGCACUCUCAGUUCCAAUCAACGCCAAAUUUCCUUAUCGACCACUUGGUGAAGAAAGAAUUAACACCCUUCGUAAUAAGCUUGGACAGUUGCAAAUUUUGAUCAUAGAUGAAAUUUCCAUGGUAGAUUCCAAAUUGUUGUACUACAUACACGGUCGAUUAAGACAAAUUAAGCAAUCACGCACUGAUUGUCCAUUCGGUAACGUUUCGGUAUUGGCAGUUGGAGAUUUUUAUCAAUUACCACCUGUGAAAGGAACACCCUUGUAUAAGGAAUCGGUAGAACAAUCGCUGUGGUCUGAAAAUUUCAAAAAGGUAGAACUGGUUGAAAUAAUGAGACAAAAGGAAGAUUUGGCAUUUGCUCUACUCUUGAAUAGAUUGAGAGUUAAGGAAAAGAAAGACACUUUAUCAGAUGCAGAUUUAUCCAUCCUUACCUCUCGUGAAACUGGUGAAGAAUGUGAAGAAGAUAUGCACAUCUAUUCAACUAAUAAACAAGUAAAUGAAUGGAAUAGCAGAAUGUUGCACAGCAAAUGUGAAGAUAUUAUAUGUGUUAAAGCUGAAGACAGAAAUAACAGCAAGGAUAAUGACGAAAUAUGUACCGAACCAUGUAAAUCUGGUCAAAGUUCUUUGCCUCGCAAUCUGUCAAUUGCUUUGAAUGCCAGGGUGAUGCUUUUAAAAAAUAUUGAUACCAAUAUAGGUUUGACAAAUGGAUGUAUAGGUACAGUUGCAGAAAUAGUAAAACGAAACAACGAAUCCAAGCCAUACUGCAUCAGUGUAAAAUUUGAUAGCCAGAAAAUUGGCAUUCAAUCGAUCAAAAUGUAUGAAGAAUCAAUGGGUAAAAAUUACACAAGAAAGCAAUUUCCCCUCAAACUGGCUUAUGCUUGCACGGUUCACAAAGUACAAGGCAUGACUUUAAAUAAAGUAGUAGUAUCACUGAAAAAAAUAUUUGCAUCUGGACAUAGCUAUGUAGGCCUGAGUCGUGUAACUUCUUUAUCUGGACUUACCAUUGAAGAUUUUCAUCCAAAAGUUAUAUACUGUGAUCCAAAGAUUAAAAAACACCUUAAUGAUAUGACCAAUUUCUUGGAAACUUCUAUAGCAGAGGAAACAUAUGAUGAUGGUUUAUGCAUAAUGUUGCACAAUAUUCAAGGAUUAAAACAACAUUAUGUAGACUUACAAUGCAAUCCAACAUUCCUGAAUUCUGAUAUUAUUUGUUUGACUGAAACAUGGCUAUCGGAUAAGGAUGAUGCUUUUGAAAUAUGCUUAGCUCAUUUCAAAUUGUAUCAUCAAUCAAGAUAUAACUCUUAUUCUAUCACAAGUGACUCAAGGCAACAGUUCAAGGACCAGUCACAUGGAGGUGUUGCAGUUUAUAGCAAGAAUGAAUUUUCAAGCAGACUUGAUAUAAAGAUUGAUAAUCUAGAGUUUAUUGCUUUUCUUAUAACCUGUCCUGUUUCUGUUGUCAUUGCAGUUGUUUAUCGCCCUCCGACAUACAGAAUGAAAGACUUCUGCAGCGACACUACCGCCCCAGAGAUCACGUUUUGUCCCUGUAACGUCUUCGUCCAGGCUGCGUCCUGUGCCAGCAGUGCCACGGCCUCCUGGGACGCCUCUACAGCUACGGACGCCUCAGAACCCAUCACAGCAGUCAGUAACUUCUCGCCUGGUGAUUCCUUUGAUGUUAGCACUUAUCUGGUCAUCUAUUACCUUAUCGAUAACGCUAGUUUCUACUCGACAUGCAGCUUUAAAGUCACUGUCACUUCAAGUGGAGUGGUCAUCGACAGAGAGAACCCCGUCCUGACCAGCUGUUUAACCGACAUCGUCGCCAAUGCCAGCCCUGGUACCUCGACCCCGGUGGUUUUAUGGCUGGCUCCUGUGGCAUCAGACAACUCAGACUCCGUUUCCCUGACGGUCAAUCAACUACAAGGCAGUUCCAUUGCUGUUGGAUCUACUGAGGUCACCUACACAGCUAGGAACGAUUUAUCCAGGAACAGAUGGCACCCGACCAUCCUUCCUCAACUGGCCAAGCAACAUUGACGAGACCGUCCCCUUCGGUAGCAGCCCAACUACCGUCAGCUGGACCGAGCCCAUUGGUGUAGCCAGCGUUGCGGCCCCACAGAGCUCUGGAUUUUUCUUUGCCGUGGAAUACACUUACAUGGUGUACAUCGCCACAGACCCAAGCGGCAACUUCAAAGGCUGCUCUUUCUCUGUCACCGUCACAGACAACACAGCCCCAGUCACCUCCAACUGCCCUACUUCCUAGACUAUCACCUGGACCGAAACCCAUCUUUACUGAUAGCUCAGGUGUGGUCACCAGCAACUUCAACUCCGGCUCCUCUUUCCCUACCGUCACUUACACCACAACGUUGGAUAAUGUUCCUUUAAUAUCGUUGUCAAUCUUGGAACGAUUUAUCCAGGAACGGAUGGCACCCGACCAUCCUUCCUCAACUGG